rnacentral:lncRNA from 1 species
GAGGAAUGGAAAAAUAAACCAAAAUCGUUCAUCGGGCCUGAGAAACCUUGAGAAGCAUAUUACCCUACGGUUGUUUUUUCAUCGAAAAGUUGAAGGAUUUCUGACAUCUCAAUUAGUAACGCAUCUGGAAUGUUUGCUCUCCAGGAAUAGAUGUACCCACCAAAAGCCUUGCUUGCAGCCACCUCCACGUCUCUCAACCUGCCUGAGUGCAGGGCUUAUGUUACAAGGAAUUCUCAAAGCUGUGUUAUCAAAGCUGUGAAAUCAAAGUCUCUACCCCUCUGAAGUUUACCCGGAUGGCCUGACUCAUCCCAGAAACAGUCACCUCCUUUUAUUGUCUUCAAUGUCACUGAUGAUUUUGAGGGAUCCAGGCCAGCUGUUUUGAAGAAUGUGCCAUAUUCAAA